CCUACGGGAGGCAGCAGUGGGGAAUAUUGCACAAUGGGGGAAACCCUGAUGCAGCGACGCCGCGUGAGCGAAGAAGUAUUUCGGUAUGUAAAGCUCUAUCAGCAGGGAAGAAAAUGACGGUACCUGACUAAGAAGCUCCGGCUAAAUACGUGCCAGCAGCCGCGGUAAUACGUAUGGAGCAAGCGUUAUCCGGAUUUACUGGGUGUAAAGGGAGCGUAGGCGGUAAGGCAAGUCUGAUGUGAAGGCCAGGGCUCAACCCUGGGACUGCAUUGGAAACUGUUGUUCUUGAGUGAAGUAGAGGUAAGCGGAAUUCCUAGUGUAGCGGUGAAAUGCGUAGAUAUUAGGAGGAACAUCGGUGGCGAAGGCGGCUUACUGGGCUUUUACUGACGCUGAGGCUCGAAAGCGUGGGGAGCAAACAGGAUUAGAUACCCUUGUAGUC
rnacentral:rRNA from 1 species